rnacentral:lncRNA from 1 species
UUCAGGACACGGCGGUGGUGGACUUGGAGGGGGCGGAGGUGGAGAUGAGUACACGUAAGGCGGAGGUGGAGAUGAUUCAGGACACGGUGGUGGACUUAGGGAAGGCGCAGGUGGAGACGAGUACACGUAAGGUGGAGGUGGAGGAGAUGAGUGUACAUAAGGCGGAGGUGGAGGUGGACUAGGAGAUGAGUAUACGUAAGGCGGAGGUGGGGGAGAUGAGUACACGUAAGGAGGUGGAGGAGAUGGUGAUGGUGGUGGUGGAGGUGGUGGUGGUGGAGGGUUUGCUCGAACAGUAGGCGACAUCUUGGACGAUGGUGGUGAAGGGGGAGAGUAUGCUCUGACUGUAGACGACAUCUUAGAGGACGGUGGUGGAGGCGGAGAGUAUGCUCUUACGGUAGGUGAC